rnacentral:rRNA from 1 species
UGGGGAAUAUUGCGCAAUGGGCGAAAGCCUGACGCAGCAACACCGCGUGAGGGAUGACGGCCUUCGGGUUGUAAACCUCUUUCAGCUCCGACGAAGCGAAAGUGACGGUAGGAGCAGAAGAAGCACCGGCUAACUACGUGCCAGCAGCCGCGGUAAUACGUAGGGUGCAAGCGUUGUCCGGAAUUAUUGGGCGUAAAGAGCUCGUAGGCGGUCCGUUGCGUCUGCCGUGAAAACCCGGAGCUCAACUCCGGGCCUGCGGUGGAUACGGGCGGACUAGAGUCCGGUAGGGGAGACUGGAAUUCCUGGUGUAGCGGGUGGAAUGCGCAGAUAUCAGGAGGAACACCGGUGGCGAAGGCGGGUCUCUGGGCCGGAACUGACGCUGAGGAGCGAAAGCGUGGGGAGCGAACAGGAUUAGAUACCCUGGGUAGUCCACACCGUAAACGAUGAAUGCCAGUCGUCGGGUAGCAUGCUAUUCGGUGACACACCUAACGGAUUAAGCAUUCCGCCU